GACGAACGCUGGCGGCGGGCUUAACACAUGCAAGUCGAACGGAAAGGCCCUGCUGUUGUGGGGUGCUCGAGUAGCGAACGGGUGAGUAACACGUGAGUAACCUGCCCUUGACUUUGGGAUAACUUCAGGAAACUGGGGCUAAUACCGGAUAGGAGCUCCUGCUGCAUGGUGGGGGUUGGAAAGUUUCGGCGGUUGGGGAUGGACUCGCGGCUUAUCAGCUUGUUGGUGGGGUAGUGGCUUACCAAGGCUUUGACGGGUAGCCGGCCUGAGAGGGUGACCGGCCACAUUGGGACUGAGAUACGGCCCAGACUCCUACGGGAGGCAGGAGUGGGGAAUAUUGCACAAUGGGCGGAAGCCUGAUGCAGCAACGCCGCGUGCGGGAUGACGGCCUUCGGGUUGUAAACCGCUUUCGCCUGUGACGAAGCGUGAGUGACGGUAAUGGGUAAAGAAGCACCGGCUAACUACGUG
rnacentral:rRNA from 1 species